ACACGACUACAUUAGAUACCCGUGUAGUCCUAGCCGUAAACGAUACUCGCUAGGUGUCGGCCACGGUGCGACCGUUGUCGGUGCCGUAGGGAAGCCGUGAAGCGAGCCACCUGGGAAGUACGGCCGCAAGGCUGAAACUUAAAGGAAUUGGCGGGGGAGCACAACAACGGGUGGAGCUUGCGGUUUAAUUGGAUUCAACGCCGGAAAUCUUACCGGGACCGACAGCAACAUGAAGGUCAAGCUGAAGACUUUGCCGGAUUAGCUG
rnacentral:rRNA from 1 species